rnacentral:rRNA from 1 species
AUUGAACGCUGGCGGAAUGCUUUACACAUGCCAGUCGAACGAUGAACCUUAGCUUGCUAAGGGGAUUAGUGGCGAACGGGUGAGUAAUAUAUCGGAACGUGCCUUGUAAUGGGGGAUAACUAGUCGAAAGAUUAGCUAAUACCGCAUACGCCCUGAGGGGGAAAGUAGGGGAUCUUCGGACCUUACGUUAUAAGAGCGGCCGAUAUCUGAUUAGCUAGUUGGUGGGGUAAUGGCCUACCAAGGCGACGAUCAGUAGCUGGUCUGAGAGGACGACCAGCCACACUGGAACUGAGACACGGUCCAGACUCCUACGGGAGGCAGCAGUGGGGAAUUUUGGACAAUGGGCGCAAGCCUGAUCCAGCCAUUCCGCGUGAGUGAAGAAGGCCUUCGGGUUGUAAAGCUCUUUCGCAAGGGAAGAAAACUUACCAUCGAAUAAAUGGUGAGGCUGACGGUACCUUGAUAAGAAGCACCGGCUAACUACGUG